CCAUAAUGAAUAAACUUAGAAAUAGAUUUUUUUGGCAAAAUUAUGCAAUUUAAUUAAAACUAAAAUAAUACCUAUCUGGAAAUCAAAGUAGUUCUACCGUAAUACAAUUGAUUGGUAAAAUGUAGUUAUCAACUUUGUCAUUAAUUAUUCCUGUUUCAUAAAAUAUGCGUUUUUAUACAAAUCUUAACUCUACGUAUAACAAAGAGACCAAUUGUUUUUUUUUUUUUUUUUAAUGAUUUUAUAGAGUUUAUAAACAAUCCCUUGGUGUGUAAUAAUAUAAAACAAAUUACAAAUUACCAUGGUAAAUGAACAAUUAAAUUUUUUUAAUAAAUUAGAAUUUUGAAAGCGAAUUUUUUUUUAACUUAUAAAAAGAUAAUACAAAAUAUGUAUUUCAUUUCAUUUCUUUUGAAACGAAAUAAACUUAGUUUAGCUUUUUUAUCUUCUUGACAUUUCAUGUUAUAUUAUUGAUUUAUUAUAACAUUUCAAAUGCAUUUAUUGUAAUGCCUAUAAUCGAUAAAACCACAACGGAAUACUACUAUAAGUGCACGACGACGGCAUUAUAAAUAGCUGUUAUUCAUUGGACGUAGAAAUGACAACCUUCACAUUGACUACACCGGCUACCUGACACACCAUGGCAGCAGAAAAUAUAUUGGAGUUGAAAAUGCAUGCGUUUUUAUUGCCCAAAUCAAGAAAAUAACACAAAAUUGUAAAUUAAAUGCAUACAUCUAUUCAGAAUCUAAAAUGGUUUUGCGAGGAUGUGUUUAAUGUAUUUAAUAUUGUUUUUUAAUAAAUAA